AGUGUCCAAGAACUCAGUGCCAGAGCCAGGCUGGCUGCAUGAGAAUCACCUGCGAGCUUUUGCAAACAUAGGCCCCUACUGGGUCCAGAUGUAUUCAUCUCUUGGAGAGGAGGAGAGAGGCAGAACAAAGAAAAGGAUGGGAAGAAACCAGCCCUGUGCACAGGAGGAUCCUGGGAUUCCUCCUGCACGUUUAGUGCAAUGCAGCCUAUUUUACAAGGUCACAGAAGCUCAGAGAGUCCUGGGAGAGAAGCAGACGUGGUUUCCAAUCCCACUUUCCAGAAGAGGAGACUGAGGCAGAGGCUUUGCAGAUACACAGAGGACAUGUGAGGACAGGUGAAGGUCAUGAUCAUUGUCAGCCCCCUCCCCCAACUUGACAUUCCCAGAUCUGGUGGACUUCCAGCCAGAGGAGAAAGAAGGAUUGGAUCACUCAACUCUGCCAUGGGUGCCAGGACCAAAUUUUUCCCUGGCUAACUCGGUCACAUCCUGUCUGGGAUCUCCAACUACUACCCAUCCCACAAGUCUCAGCUAAAACAGCAAUUCAACGAGGAACUUUUUUCUGAGGCUCCAGGAUUGGGCCAGGCCCUCUCCAUUGCUCUCUGCCCUUCCCCUACUGCAGAACUUAGCACCUGUAUGUCACUAUUGGUUCAAACAUGUGUCUUUCGUAUGCUCUCCACGUUAUCUGCAGCAUCUGCCAAGAAUAAUAAUGGAUGGUAAAACCUAAUCUCUAUUGAGUGUCGAUGAUGCACUUUUAACGUGACAUCUUAUUUAA
rnacentral:lncRNA from 10 species